UACGUAGGGGGCAAGCGUUGUCCGGAUUUAUUGGGCGUAAAGAGCGUGUAGGCGGCCAGGUAGGUCCGUUGUGAAAACUAGAGGCUCAACCUCUAGACGUCGAUGGAAACCAUCUGGCUAGAGUCCGGAAGAGGAGAGUGGAAUUCCUGGUGUAGCGGUGAAAUGCGCAGAUAUCAGGAAGAACACCGGUGGCGAAGGCGGCCUUCUGGACAGUGACUGACGCUGAGACGCGAAAGCGUGGGGAGCAAAUAGG
rnacentral:rRNA from 1 species